rnacentral:rRNA from 1 species
CCUACGGCGUCUGCAGUGGGGAAUAUUGCACCAUGGGCGCAAGCCUGAUGCAGCCAUGCCGCGUGUGUGAAGAAGGCCUUCGGGUUGUAAAGCACUUUCAGCGGGGAGGAAGGCGUUAAGGUUAAUAACCUUGGCGAUUGACGUUACCCGCAGAAGAAGCACCGGCUAACUCCGUGCCAGCAGCCGCGGUAAUACGGAGGGUGCAAGCGUUAAUCGGAAUUACUGGGCGUAAAGCGCACGCAGGCGGUCUGUCAAGUCGGAUGUGAAAUCCCCGGGCUCAACCUGGGAACUGCAUUCGAAACUGGCAGGCUAGAGUCUUGUAGAGGGGGGUAGAAUUCCAGGUGUAGCGGUGAAAUGCGUAGAGAUCUGGAGGAAUACCGGUGGCGAAGGCGGCCCCCUGGACAAAGACUGACGCUCAGGUGCGAAAGCGUGGGGAGCAAACAGGAUUAGAUACCCGGGUAGUC